rnacentral:rRNA from 1 species
UACGUAGGGGGCAAGCGUUGUCCGGAAUCAUUGGGCGUAAAGCGCGUGUAGGCGGCCCGGUAAGUCCGCUGUGAAAGUCGGGGGCUCAACCCUGGAAUGCCGGUGGAUACUGUCGGGCUAGAGUCCGGAAGGGGCGAGUGGAAUUCCUGGUGUAGCGGUGAAAUGCGCAGAUAUCAGGAGGAACACCAAUGGCGAAGGCAGCUCGCUGGGACGUGACUGACGCUGAGACGCGAAAGCGUGGGGAGCAAACAGG